GAAUGCGAUUGAAAAUAAAUCAUAUUUAGUUGCAUUUAUAUAAAUGCGGAAUUCGCAUAAAUAUUCGCAAUGUAUUGAUGACUUAUGUAACAAAAUAAAAUAAAUAGAGAACGUAGAAUAAAAUCUUUUCAUUUAAACCUUGGUUUUUUAGAGAAUCGAUUUUGGUAUCCUUGAUAAAAUUUUUCUUUGUGCUUUGUUGAAUUUGUACUUUGUUGAAUCUAAUAAUCUAAUUAUUUAUAAAAGUCGCGUAGGCAUUCUAAAUAUAGAAACAAUGGUGUUACUGUACCGUAUUGUAUGCAUAUAAUUACGUAUGUAAGUAUAUGCGUACUAUUGUAUACGCAGCUAAUUUUCAAAGUCUGUUUUUGUAUAAGAAAUCAUCUGCCCGCUCCACAAACCUUCAAAAAUUAAUUUUCUUAAAAUCUAAAUAAGUUUUAGAUGAAAAAAACUUUAUUCUACAUUUUUGGUGAAAUGAUUUCCCGUUUUUUCUAUAAAUUUCAUUUCGCUUACAAAUGCAUACUUACGUUAGCAGAUUUUCAAUAUCAAUUUGAAAGACAAACUCCAAUUUUUUUUAUUUCAAUUCUGCAUAUUUUGGAUCCACUUCUUAUUAUACAACACUUGAUCCGAGCAAUGAUUGGCUUAUGACGAUUCAAAUUUUCUUUUGUUUAUUGACUGUGGUAAAUUCUUAUUAUUUCUUUUUUAUUGUUUUCGGCAGGUCGUUCAUUUCUUGAGUUAGCUCUUUUUCAUAAUUCUUAAUGUAUUGCAUAUGUAUUGUAUUUUCUAUCUUUUAUUUAUUUUUGGAUAAGGUAGCGUUUAUACAAGACUUUACUUUGAGCCAUAUCUUGAGCAUUUAGGAAGCAGGGGCGUUAAAUUUGGCGUAAGUCAAUAUUACAUAAAGGUUAUUUGAAGUAAUAAAUGCUUAUGAUAAUUGGAUUGGUUUGCUUGUUUCCCAAGAAGUAAAGAAUACCUAGAUUAAUUGCCAAUUAUUUAACAAAAAUUUAUUCAACACACGCAAGCUAUUUUCUGAGAAAGUUUGUUACAUUUUACAUUUUUCUGUAAUGUUAUACAUGUUGUUAUUUAUUUUAUGUAUAUUAUUUUUCUGUUAUAUAUAGCCGUGAUAUUUCGUGUUAGCGAUGAUAAGCUAUAAUCGUUCUGCGCAUUACACGGAUUAAAAGAGAUUAAUUUUAUUCCGACAGAAAAACCCACAGAGGAACACUGUGAGGUCUUAGACGAAAAUGUUUAUAGUAAGGUUAUACAGAUAGACAUUCGAAUAGAAUAUUCCAACUUCCAAUAAAACCCAGAAACUGUUUUAAACAAGUUUUACGAAGUGUAAUUUAGAAGGAGUAUUACAUUGACAUGUAUAAAUAUCUAUUUGUAUGUGACAAUACAGAUUGCCGAAUUUUCUGAACUGCACCUUUCAGAAAAACCUAAUCCCUGGCGUCAGUUCAGGUAUCGCCCUGUCCUUGCCAAAAGAAGGUGCGCCAAGGGCAUAUAAUAGAGUUGUCGUAACACUCAGGAUGCUGUUAAUUGAAAAAUUAACAUUUUCAAGGUAUCAGCGUGCAUUUAAAGCAUGUGUGGCAAAUCUUCGAUAGUCGGAGAAAAACAUUCAUCGGACAUUUUUCAACAUUUCGAUAGAUAUCAUGCAAUAGCAAAAACAAACAAACCAGUCAAACACUAUCACACAUUCAAACUCCAGGGCGUUAUCUCCACUGAAACAACAACGACGAAAUUUUUGUAGCCGCUUUAUAUUUCUUGGAAAAUUCACCAUUUGUUAUCGAAUGUUUCUCCAAACUUCUUCGUGUUCAUAUAUUUUCUUUUAUAUUUAAUAUAAAUAUAAAUAUAUAUAUUUCCAAAUAGGGAAAUCCUCAAUUUAUUUAUCUUUAAUGGGUAAUAACAUUACACAAUUUUUAAUAAUCUGCCAAAUAUGAAUUAACUUCAUGCGUCAUAUAUCAAUGGAUUUCUCAACAAAAAUGUGCGAUAAAGGGGAAGCCACAAACGCCCAUUAUUAUUAUUAUUAUUUUUAGUAACAUAAUUAAUAAGAAUAUCGCAUAGCUUUUAAUGUUUUCGUAGAACAUCAACUAAUUUUGUGGUUUAACUGUGUAUUUAACUUCUCCACGUAACUGACAAUAAGGGUCGAAUUGUAAACAUCUAAAUUAUAUUUCUAAAUUAUUACAUACAUAAAUGACUAUAUUAAUGAUUUUCAGAAUAACAAUUAAUUCGCAGUGAGGAUUGAGUCGUAAAUGCUUAAAAAGAAAUUCAAUCGUAUUAUGUAUAUCUCGUUACAAUAUCUUAAUCUUUUGUAAUAAUAACGCUACACACUUUUUGGUAAUCUUUGGUACAUAAAUUAAUUUUAUUAAAGAAUUUUUCUAAUGAAUGAUAUUUGGCAAAUUGUAUAACUCAAUUUCCUAAAAAAUGAAGCAUUCGAUCCAAUUUUAUUAUUUUUGAUUUUGACACACUGAAUUUUCACAUUGAAUUUUUAAGUUACUUUUACAUUAAUAAUCUGUCUCUCACCUCUGUAUAAACAGACAAUUUCGGAAUAAUAAAUACGAUUUGUUUGAAUAGCUAAUACACUUGAAGAAGCAUAAGGUAAUCGCAGAUGUGGGUUUUCCCAAGGGUGAAUUUAAAGGAAGGGUUAUUGCUGGAAUCGUAUUUAUCAUCCUUUUCAAUAGUAGCAAAUCAUUUUCUCGAGAAAUAAAUACUUAAAGUGUAGAAUCAUGUCACUUUAUACGUACUUAUAAAUUUUUCUAAUAUCGAUUCAGCAGUGAAAACAAGAUAUCAUGGUUAAAUAGUAAUACACCCAAUAGAUAUGGCCAUACAUGAAUGAGCUAUCUUCUUGGAGAAACUAAUUCUGAGAUUUUGAUUAAUACCAUGUGCCAAUGACGCAUUUUGAAAGAAAAGAUCUGCCAGAAUGACGUUUUUCAGUCGAAAAAAUAACCGCGAGCCCGUGUUUCUCAGAGCGUUUGAUUUCUUUUAUAAAUAGAAUAAUAUAAAUGCCGAAUUGAAGUAUUAUUAUAAGAAAAGAUGAUAUUUUAUGAAAAAAAGAUAAAGAAGGCUGCAAAUAAGACCAAGUUUAAUAUUUGUUCCAUUAUUAUCGAUUUAAAAAAGGUAGCAAGGUCAUAAAAGAGCAAAUAUUAUUUCGUCAGCCCCUUUUUGUUUGCAGCAAAUAAAAGAUAUACGAUCACUAGAAUUGCGUGACCGGUAUUAAUAUCCAUACACGAAGGUUAUAUUUUUAGAUAAUAAGGUAUACAUAUAUAUUUCAAUUAUAUUUAAAAAAUAGUUUCAUAUUCCAGGUAUUUUUCGUAAUAUAAUAUAAAGUAUACCAUUAUAUAAAUUAUAUAUAGUUUAUGCUACAAGUCUUAAUAUUAUAUUAUAAUUUAAUUAUAAAUAACUAUAAUAAAAUGUUAUAUCAUAAAUUAAAUUUAAUUUAAUUUAUUGAACAGAGGUGUGGGUUGCAACUUUUUAAAAUUAGAAGGCUUCUAGAACUAAAAAAAUGAUCUUUAUUUAACCUAAAAGUUCUACAGAGACAAUAUUUUCCGUCAUUUGGUGUACUACUAUCUUGGAAUUUUCUUAAAUUUAAUUUAAUCGUUUUAUCAAAUUUGACUUUUAAAAAAUCUAUGAUCUAAUUAGAUUGCCAUCCGAAAAUUCUUUCAUUUGAUUAGGAUUCUCUUGCGUAAUAAUUUAUCAACUAAUACCAGUAAUAACUAAUAUUAAUAAAAGUGAAUACCUAACAACAUGCUUGAAAUAAUCGCAGAUGAACAAUGUCAUCGUUAAUGAAAUAUUGAAAUUCGCAAAGUCUGUAGUCCAUUUUUUAUAUUUAAAAGAAUCUCUUAAAUACGUACAAAUCUGUAGUCUACUCAUAAUUUAUCAAUGUUCUCCUAUAAGUACUGCCAAAAUUGAUAGUAGUUGACAGUUAAAAUUAGAAUUAAACGUGAAUGAAUCUUUUCUGGACAGGUGACUAAUUACACGCGAUCGGGAAAUUCGAACAAUCGAUGAUUACGAGGAUCAUCGGAUCGGAAUCACGGGACUUCUUUUAUUUUCAAUUAUGCAUACCUAUCCCAUUAAAUAGCGUUACAUGAUUUUAUCCACGCGCCUCGAAUUCAGCCGCAACAAUCGACAAAACCGAUAAGGAUCACGAAGCCAGCAGAAAAGAUUCUGCUGAUAAUAAAUCGCCAUUCAUAUAAAUAGAAAAUCGAUUAACACCACGUUUGCCUCUGUAACUGUGUCAGUAUCUCUACCGUUAGUCACGCAAAUGAUUGUUUUCUUUUUCCUCGGGCCAAAGGCAGGAUAGGGUAAACGUCCGUAAUCUAAAAAUAUAACUUCUUUCGAGCGCUGAUCGGAAGUCGUGUCACGAAAUUUCACAAUGCGUGGGACUAAUUUGGAAAGUGACGAUGCAAAUUAUGUGAAAUCGUAUUUGGCUUAGAAGGAACUUAUGUACGUAAUAAACAGCAAAUCGCGAAGUUCUUCGUUUCCAUGGAAGCUGUACAGUUUCGAGGAAGAAAUUUGCAUAGGAAGAAAAAAACAUGGAAAAUGGUGCACUCUUGCGUAUACUACGAAAUAUUAUACGAUAACAGAGCGUUACACAACAUAAAAGGAAAAUCGUGUUUACACGAAAAAGGCAAUCGACAUAUGCAAAUAUACGUACAUCAAGCAAGGACUGGAUACAAUUUCAUUUGUGUUUAGUUUUAAAGAAGAGCUUGGGAAUACCGAGUUUUAUUAUUAUAGCGCUUGGACAAUGGUGAUUAAUCAUGCUUCAUAGUCGAUGGGAACGAUUCAUUAUUGAAGCAGAUUUCCAAUCAUAUCGACCAAGGUGGGAUAUUUUUAAAAGAUUAUUUUAUUUUUAUUCCGGAUCACGCUAGUGGAUUUCGAUGAUUUAUUGAUUAAACACAGGCGACUGGUCAUAGAAGAAUACCGUGGACAAUAGUUGGAUUGUUGAAAUUUUUGUUGUAACCUUGACUAUGUAACGGUAUAGAAUAUAUCUAGGUAAAUAUAUGUAAGUAAAUAAUAUCGUAUAGUAUAUUUAUUAUAAUAUUAUAUUAUUCAUUUAAAUUAAUAAUAUAAAUGUUACAUAUCAUGUCUUGCCCUGAUUUUUAUAAACUUUCUCUGUAUAUUUAUAACAAUAAUGUACAUGUAUUUUAGAUAUCAUAUAAUAUUUUUAAUAUAACUGAAUAUUUGUCAAGAUAAUAGAUAGAAUUUUACCAGAAAUUUAAUAUCACAGGGUACAUAUUAGAUGCAGAAUUCAAAUGCCAAGAAAGAUCAGAUAAUAUGUAUUCGGAUGUAUUAUAUAGUUAUUGGAGAAGUAUCAAUAUUUAAAUAAGCUGAGAAACUUCUUUGCUUUAGUUAAGGAAUAUAAAUUAAGAAACGAUCUUUUAUAUAUAUAUACAUAUAUGCUGUUUUCAUUACAAUACAUACAAAUUCUAAAUAUGAUUAAAAAAGAAGAUACAGGAAAGGAUAGAAUAAGAAAAUUUUGAAGCUCAAACAUUAACCUUUUUCUCUUUAAUUAUUAUGCAAAAGAUGCGUUUGGCGACCUCUCUUCUACUAAACAUAUGCACGAGAACCUGUUGUUUUAUGAUCUGCUUCGAUAAUAUCCCUAACACUUACUUGCUCUACUUGUACUGAAGAUGCAAAUUUAUACGUAUAAGUAAUUAAGCUACAUAGCAGCAACUAGUUUCAUACAUAGAGGUUAAAAGUAUAUAUGAAGUUACAGUACGCCAGUCAUAUAAAACAUACGUUACUAUGUUAUCGUGUAAGUGGAUGCGAUAUGAGAAUGAAAAGAAA